CGCUGCCGCAGGCAGGCAAUCCGCGCCCGCGGCUGUUCCGGCUGGCCGAGGAUCGUGCCGUCAUCAACCGCUUCGGCUUCAACAGCCAGGGCGGCGA
rnacentral:tRNA from 1 species